ensembl:snRNA U1 U1 spliceosomal RNA
AUACUUACCUGGCAGGGGAGAUACCGUGGCUGUGCUGACCCCUGCGAAUUCCCCAAAUGUGGGACUCUCGACUGCAUAAUUUCUGGUAGUGGGGGACUGUGUUCGCGCUCUUUUUAA